GACCCCCUAAAGAUUUAAAAGCGGUGUCAAUCAACUAGUUGUCAGUAAACAUAUUAUCACAAAUCUUAUCAAAAUAUUUUAUAAAAGUUGAAAAGUAACCUUGUGUUGCUUUAACUUUGCUAUACUCUUCAUUACAAGUGAACAAAUCUAAAAACCAAGAAACGUAUGUUGUACUAAAAAAAAAAAAAAUUGUACAAAAAAAAAUAAAAAUCCUAUGUUUUACCUUUUGUUAACCAGUGUGACUAUAACAGGCCUCCUGGUAGGAAGUCGCAUUGACGACAUUGAAUAUAUCCCUCUUUACAAAAGAAAGAAACUUCUUCAGAGGGCAGAAAGGCUGACUGGGGCGACGGUCAAGAGGGCUACAGAAUACAGUGUGAUACGUUACAUCCUCUCCAUUGUACAGUAGCCUGAUAAAAAAUCCUCCAUCUUUUGCUUUUGACCUUUCACCUUUGCCAGCCCUCUGCUCCUGCUGUCCUUGCUUCACUGAGGGGCUUUUCCACAGUUCAAAUACCAGUCUUGCUGCAAAAGGUGGGAACCUGGCCUCCUCCAGUCCCAGUGCACUCAGCAAAGGUGCCAUGGUUACAUCAUGAGCAGAGGAGACCGUGAACACCUCUUCGCCUCCAGCUCUUGGUUUCCGAUUACCUGCGGCAACCUUGGCUACUCGCUCCAUUUUGUUGGCGGUUCGAUUGAGCUGUUGCCGGCGAAUUACGGCAAACUGCGCUGUACUUAGACAUCUGUUUGUGCUUCCAUCUUUCGUGAACAUGCAUGGAAAUGGAAGGCCGUGGCACAAGUGGCAGAGCAGAGAGUCUAUUGGGUUUGCGACCCGGAGGUUGCGUGUUGGAAUACCUAAGGAAUCGGUUCCUGGCAGGGCAAUCGCAGGCAGAGCCACAGAACAGUGUACUCCACUGGUGAUGUACUGUCAGCUUCUUCCAAUCGAAUUCUGGGAGGAAACCAUAUAGAAAAGCCAGCCCACUCUGAAGUGUGCGGCUCUUCCCCGUGGUCUCCACCCAUACCUGUUGAGGUGACCAGUCGGAAGGGACAAAACUGUGGGGCGCGUAAGCUUGACGGAGGAUUUUUCCAUUACGUAGUUGCUGCACCACACCUAAAAUAAAGCAUAAAUUUUGUGGGUAUACUUGAAGUAAAUGCAAUUACAAUGGAAAUAGUGGAAUCUAUGGCUUGUUACAGCGAUUACAUGGAACAUUUGAAAAAUUGCACAUUUGUUUAUCUUUUGGUAGCUUGCAUGUCAAAUAGCAUAAAAACAAUACAUUGAUUUGAAAAUUCAAUUUCAAAACAUCACCAAAUCCUUGAAAGAGUUGAGAAGCUUUCUGGAGUCAAAGAGGAAAAUAAUGUCUUGCUUACCAGUUUGAGUGAGAUCUCCCAUCUCACAAGGACUGUGGUUAGGUAAACGAGGGAGAGAGGCCAAAGUAGACUCCCAGUGCCCACGGCCUCCUAGGCCCAUGUGACUUAUGAAGGCUCCUAACAGAGGGUGUGAGGGAUUCCUAGGGAUGCAAUACAGAAAUUCAGUGCUCACUUUUAAAGGACAGGGUUAGAUGGAGUCAACUGAUUCGCUGUGGCACGUACAUCAGUUGCUCACAAAAGAGGCUUAUCGCAAUUAAAAUGCUGUAAAAUGUUUUUGCAGAGGGGAUGAUUUCAACUUCUCUUAAAUCAACAAUUUAAAUAUUUUUUUGAAAAAAAUACUUCUUACACACAUCUAUUCCCCAUCUCUAAAAUUCAAACAUAAACAAUAAGAAUUUUACAUAAAGUAAUGAAACUUUACAAUCGUGUUUUAUCAGUUAGCUAUUAAAUCAAUUUUGAGAACUAGUACAUUUUCAACAGUUUAAAAUUAAUCAUACAAUGUGUUUGUAUUAUUGGCAUGCUUUUUGCCCGCCACUAGAUGUCUUUCUAAUAAACACUAGUGGGAGGCAAUCCUUACUGGUACCAUAGGCUCCAAACAAAGGUUAAACAACAAGUGUUAUUACUUUAAAUCUACUAAUAACAAAAGACCCGCGUGUGCUCGGGUAUGCACGUGCGUACAGGCCAUACACAGCAAUGAGGGCAGAAAGAGGAGCAGUUGCUGAUUUGUUAGGAUAAAUGAUUGGAGAUUACAGUUCGGUUUAGCAGGAUCUACAUCUGUCUGAACAAAGAUAUAAAAAAAAAAAAAAAAAAAAAACGGGGCAUCUGCAGCAGGCACACAACUGUUUCAAUAGUGAUCACGGGUCGGAUCACGUACAUACAAUUAAAAACCUCAUAUCCUCUUUUAUUACUUUACAUCAGGCCCGCAAUCUGCACCAGCUCUUUUUAGAAGCACUUUUGAGAGCAUGAUUAUUAUAUUUGUAGCAAAGUAAAUUAUACAGUUCAUGUGAAUGUAUUGGGAGCAUUCUUUAUGAUUGCAGAGGAAAUAAUAAUAAUUUAAUCUUCAAAAGAUGAAUACAAAACAUCUAUCACGAUUUAACAUUAUAUUCCUCAUAAAUAGAUAACAUGUUUUGUAUGUUUAAAUUAUGAAACUUGUAAAUAUACACAUUCACUUUACAAGUUAAAACGAACUGGAUAAAUAUGGAAUAUAAAAUUCCAACUAAACUAUAUAUAACCGAAGGAAUUAUCAGCAGUUGUGUGGUCAACAUGACCUGCAAAUUGUCUCUUUGGCUUUUGAACCAGUCAAAGAUGACUAAAACCAAUUGUAUUAGUUAUUUUUUUGUUACUGGUUGGACCAGUACAAAAAGACAGUAAGGACUUAUGCUUUAUAAACAAGUACUGUAAAUACUUCAAUUGCUGAUGGGAGGACUGCAUGAUUGUAUUGGUGAGGCGAGGGCAAGAGAGUGGUUGCUAAGUGGCUCUGCAAACUGGUGCCAUUACAGACAAACCGCAUUGGGAUAAACUAGCACAGAUCAAUAGAUCACUAGAAUAGAUCAGUAAAAGAAUAACUCAAGACAUAGGUAGAUUUUUUUUGUUAUUCCCUUAGAAGAGUGGAAGAUGUUUAUACAAUUAAAUAACAUCAGAGACAGAAAUGUAAUUGUCAUACUUAGAAACAUUGCCCUUCACACAAACCUAUAAAUGACACUGCUGGCAAUGUAGCCAACCAACCUAGUAGAGCUGAAAAGAGUACUCGAGCAACUCGAGUAACUCGAGUUUAAAAACUGAUCCGAGUAAUUUUAUUCACCUCGAGUAAUCGUUUAUUUUGACAGCUCUAAGCAUCACGUUUUGCUCGGACUACUUUUAAUGCGGGACAACGCGCUGUCAUGUGCGGAGAGGAAGAAGGGAAAAAAAAAAACUUACUGCAGCCGACAGCCGCCACAAACGACGCCGACGUUGCUAAAUACUAGCCCGCACGAUGCUACGUUGGGACAGGUAGCGUCUGAUGCGUCUCAUAGAGAUCACAUGUAUGUUGAACUAGAUGGGAAAUGACAGACUCGGCUGCGUCUGGGCAGCGUUAGUAAACAGCCGCCAUCUUAAAGCAGUAGAGCGCUAAGCACUAAUAAAGAGCGCUAAGCGCUAAUAAAUAAGAUUAACGUUACUGUCGCUACUAGCUCACGUAACGUUAGCCCUGCGGAGGGCUAGGUUUCAAUUAAUUAUGACCACUGUCGAUGCGUGGCUAACGUGUCUUACAUACAGGCUUUAACAAAACAUAGCAUUGUGGAGUGAUGAGGGAGUAAAAUAAAAACUUAAUCAUGCUAACUAUCAAUUUUAGCUCAGUAGUCAUUGCUGGAUAAAACACCAAGUAGCACUGGUCCCUAAUGUGCUCCAAUACAGCCUGUAUCAUACAUUUAUUUUGAACACUGCAAAAACUCAAAAUCCUAUCAGGACUUACAGUUUAGACUAACUUAAAACUUAACUAGAACUUAAAAAUGGCUUGACACAAAGAGAAAUUCAAUUGAAACACGUGGGAAAAAAUCCUAACUUUUAAGUGAUGUGUGUUAUC